CGGUCAACAAAAAUGCCCACUUCACAGCCUGGUUCACGUGUAGAUUGUCAGCCACGUUGUUCGCAACACUAAUGUCUGCCCAACAGCCUGCAAGUAGCCUAACCGAGGCAGCAGCUUUACUUCACACUGUACUGGCUUCAGCGGAGACCAUCAGAACCUUGUCAAAUGUGACAACAGUCGGGCAGCAGCCUACUGUUGCAACUCUAAGCCGCUACACUCUGGACUGUCACAUAUUGUCGCUUUUCCCCUCCUGACAGCACAGCAGCAUGACACUGCCAACUGCAGCUCCAGUCCGGAGAGAGUGUGCGCCGCGUUAUCAAGCGCAGCGCUUCAGCUCUUGGACAUCAGGCACAUCAGGAGGAAGAAAAGAGUCAGGACACAGCAGCAUGGCCAUUUCAACAAGGAUGUAAUACUACUCCCUAAUCAAUCAUGGGGAGUAGUGUGCAAACAAGGUCCAAAAUCAUGGUUACACAAACAUGGACACAUCCUCAGUGCCGUUGAAUUCCUGAAGGACUGGGACCACCAGACUGUUUUAGAACGCAUCAGGGAUGGCUUUGGUGAGCACAUUCUAGACGAUGUCAGCCUCCAGUUUCUCAUGGCUUGUGGCAAUAAGCUGGUGUCCCCUAAGCUCCAGGGUGGUCAGGAGCUGAAUGGGAUGCUAAUUUACAAGGUCUUUAAAACCAAAGCCCUGUAUGUUAGACCAUCAAGGACCCUUUUAAUUGACUCCGAAGAUGAAAAUGACUGUUCUCCCAUUACUACCAGAUCAACGUUAAGCAUGCGUGCAACUAAGGGCAGCAAUGAUUGUUUUGAAGUUGAUGGUCCUCAGAUUCGCACAGACAUGAGCAGUAAUGGCACCACCAGGGCUGCUACCAGGUUUAGAGUAAUGAGGAGUAAUGAGUAUCCUGGUACUAGAAGUCAUGAUGGAGAUGGCAAACCUGGCACUAGUACUGGUCAUGAAGACAGCUAUGGUUCCAAUCACACCAUCAGCAGUUGUGGUCAUGAUGGAGGCUGUCUUGCAAAAGGUGAUGGGAACCCUGGCACCAGUGGUGAUGAUGGAGGCUGCCUUGCAAGAGAUGAUGGGAACCCUGGCACCAGUGGUGAUGAUGGAGGCUGCCUUGCAAGAGAUGAUGGGAACCCUGGCACCAGUGGUGAUGAUGGAGGCUGCCUUGCAAGAGAUGAUGGGAACCCUGGCACCAGUGGUGAUGAUGGAGGCUGCCUGGCAAGAGAUGAUGGGAACCCUGGCACCAGUGGUGAUGAUGGAGGCUGCCUUGCAAGAGAUGAUGGGAAACCUGGUACAACUGAUCAUGAUGGUGACUACGCUUCAUAUUUGACACUUGUGGCUACUCUUCCGCCUGACUCUUCAGAUGAUGAGGAAUUAAACCAAGCCAUAAUUGCCAGUAUGUAGAGUCAAAUUGCAGAAAAGGUCCCGGUCCAAGAGAUACUGCUGGAACUGUCAAACAAAAUUAGCACAAAAUGGCAGUGCAAAUUUAAUAUAAAUCUCUCUGCUGUAUGGGAGGGAGCCAUGCGGGGCUUCCGAAGGGUAUCCUAUGACCCCACUUGAUGAUCUGUGUUAAAUUCUCCGAUGACAUGGGGAGAAAUGAAGAAGGAGUUGAUUUAGGAGGACCAAGAAGGGAAUUCUUAUGGCUGCUGAUGGAGACUAUUGCCAGGUCACCCAUGUUUGAAGGAAAAUAAAACAGCAAGAACUUGGCUCUUGACAGUACUGCUCUAAGAGAGGACUGGUACUACAUUGCUGGCAGAGCCAUUGCAGUGAGCUUGGUGCAUGGUGGUCCACCACCAAACUUCCUCUCGCCAACAGUAUUUUGUCUUCUGGUCAAUGGUUCAGCAAAUCCAAAACUAGAAGAUAUAGCUGACACAGAACUCUUGGAAAAAGUCAAAAAGGUGUCUGAAAGUACAACCCUUGAGGACCUUGAGAAUUCAAAUGCACCUUUGCUUGACUACUUGGCCAAUGCAGGAUGUCUGAGGCCUAUGCGGUUGAUAAGAGACAGGAAUCUGCUGGUACAAGACAUUGUCAUGUUUCAGGUCAUCCACAGGGUUCAAGGUCCAUUUCAGAGGUAUUCAGUGUUAGUUGUUGUACAGUCAGAUCAAUCUCAAAAGGAGUAAUAAUUGUAACCAUUGACCAACAAGGUGUAAGACUAGCUUCACAAAAUCUGUUAUGUUUGUAUAAAACCAAGUGACAGUUUGACAGUGUACAGGUGAAUUAUGGAUUGUACAGUUAUUCCGUGUUGUUUGUACAGAUUCUGUGAAGGACUGAAAACUCUUGGGGUUCUGGACCAAAUACGACGACAUCCAGACAGCUUUCGACCCCUGUUCUGCUAUGAGCCGAAAACACUCACUGCUGACCAGGUGGAUGAUCUUUUCAGCAUUCGUCUCUCUCCAGAAGGGAGCAACAAGAGAGCUGCUGAGGAGAUGGUUGUUACUUUCUGGAGGGACUUUCUCCAAGAUGCAGAAGAAGAAGAAGGGCCAUCCAAACUAGAGAAGAUAUUGGCCUUCACAACUGGAGGAUCUGUGGUACCACCUAUCGGCUUUCCCCCAACUCCUUCUGUCCAGUUCAUUCACAAAGGAGAUGAUGGCUUCUCUACAUCAAUGUUCCCUCUUGCCAACACAUGUGUUAACUGCAUCAAGUUGCCACUACAUGUGUCUUACCAACUGUUCAAGGAGAAGUUUGACUUUGCAUUAGGAAACACAUAUGGGUUUGGCUGGGCAUAAACAUGUCAUGCUCUGAAAACUUCAGUCUGUGUCUCACUUUCUCUGUCUCUACCUUUUUGCUUGUCUCAGUCUGUUUUCUGAAGAAAGUUAGUUGUUAGUUGUCUUCUGAAAGAGAGUUAUUGGUUUCAUUUCUGAAUGCCGUAUGCAAUAUAACUUAUGUAUUUUAUAUAGUUUCACCACAAUUCAGUUGACUCAGUCAACCUAUGUUUUAAAACAUAUUUACAUUUAUUUUAACGGCAUGUUUCAUAUUCUUACCAAACUUUCUUUUAACAUAUACUUGUUUAGACAAUUAAAAUUUAAACAAUUAAGCUGAACAUAUUCUCUGUAUAACAUGUUCAUUUGUUUUUCAUAAAAUGUUUUACAAUGUUUUAACAAAACUUUAAUUCACAGAAUACACUGCACAAGUGAAGAAAACAUUUUAACAAACCUUAACAUUAUUCCCAUGUUAUUUACUGAAGAAAGUGCAGAAGUGAAGAAAAUACAUCUAUUCCAUGGUUCCCAUCAUUUUCAAGUGUGUUCACUUGUUGAAUAAUGUUCAUUGUGGUCUCAUUAAUGGUUACAUCUAUGUCUGUAAUUACAACAUUAUUAUUGGUUUGAAGUUCAGGUAAUGGCCCUUCUUCAUCAAUGUCAUAGUAGUUAUCUGCAUCAAAAAUGCUGUUUAUAGCUGGAUGGAUUCCUGCAUUAUUAAUGACACCUUAAUGCCACAGCUGAAGAGGUGUCUGCCCCCCUUGUGUAGAGUGGCCAUGGUUGUUCCACUGAUUGAUUAAUUCUGUUACUGCUCUUUCAAUCCUUGGUAAAUAAACAUAAUGCAGACAAAAUAAAUGUAGUUCAUUCAGUGAAUCUAGUACACCGUGUUCCUCCAUGAAGUUAAAGAUAUUUAUAAAGUGUCUAGAUACAACUCUAUUGAGUUCUGCCCAUAGUCUCCCAAUCCUUUGGUUGUGUACUGAUACACCUGUAAUAACACUGUUCAAUCCUCUUCUUUCCAACAUAAAAUGGGCAACAUUUAUAUU